UACGUAGGUGGCAAGCGUUGUCCGGAAUUACUGGGUGUAAAGGGAGCGUAGGCGGGAAAGCAAGUUAGAUGUGAAACCUAUGGGCUUAACCCAUAGCCUGCAUCUAAAACUGUUUUUCUUGAGUGAAGUAGAGGUAAGCGGAAUUCCUAGUGUAGCGGUGAAAUGCGUAGAUAUUAGGAGGAACACCAGUGGCGAAGGCGGCUUACUGGGCUUUAACUGACACUGAGGCUCGAAAGCGUGGGUAGCAAACAGG
rnacentral:rRNA from 1 species